CUCAGAAUCAGCCUUUGACACAACUCUCCUGCUUCGGUUCAACUCCAGAGGUCAAAACUAUUUGCUGCGUCUGCUAAUUUUCAAUCUUUUUCCUUCUCUGUAAUUUUUCAAUUUCCUCCUUCGGUGUUCAUCGUUCUAAGUGUGUGUGCUCUUUGUGUUGGACUUGGAGAUGAAAGAUGAGUUCAACCAUGAUGGCAUUGUGGUUGAAGUACAAUACAAAUGACCUGUACAUGAGAAACUAACUAAAAAGAAGUAUGCAGAAGAGCAUUUCAAGCAACGUAUCCUUCUAGCAUCCACGUGAGUUGUUCUACUUGGAGUAACGUCAUUAGGUGCAAAAGGAAUGCCCGGGCCCAACAUGAAAAGGUAAUAUGGAGGAUUUACUACACCCCUUACAUACUGUGCUUGGCUGGAAUAUCAAGUUCAGUAAUCUUAACAGGGUAAUGACACUAGCUUGAGAUAUGACAAUUUAUUCGAUGCAAGAAGAGAUGCCAUUAGGAUUCAAACUCUAGAUGUACUAUUGGUACUCCAGCAGUCAAGACCUCCUACUUGAAGUCAUCCCCUUAGAUGCUAUACGAUCAUUCUUUGUGGGAUUGUUGAUAAAUUAGUUAUUCCAUGUAAUUAUUCAUUUCUCUUUCUUUAUGAAAAUUUAAUAUGUCUAGCAACUCUUGGAAAGUAUUUAGCGGAUGAUUUCCAUGAAGAACCUAUAGAAGGUUCUAUAAAGAUUUUUUCAAAGAUGCUGACUCAUAAAAUUCACCCUUUUCACAUUGUAAAGGUUAAUGUUGGGCCAUGCAUU